AUUGAACGCUGGCGGCAGGCUUAACACAUGCAAGUCGAGCGGAGAUGAGGUGCUUGCACCUUAUCUUAGCGGCGGACGGGUGAGUAAUGCUUAGGAAUCUGCCUAUUAGUGGGGGACAACAUUCCGAAAGGAAUGCUAAUACCGCAUACGUCCUACGGGAGAAAGCAGGGGAUCUUCGGACCUUGCGCUAAUAGAUGAGCCUAAGUCGGAUUAGCUAGUUGGUGGGGUAAAGGCCUACCAAGGCGACGAUCUGUAGCGGGUCUGAGAGGAUGAUCCGCCACUCUGGUACUGAGCCACGGCCCAGAGUCCGACUGGAGGCAGUAGUGGGGAAUAUUGGACAAUGAGGGAACCCCUGAUCCAGCGAUGCCGCGUGUGUGAAGAAGGCCUUAUGGUUGUAAAGCACUUUAAGCGAGGAGGAGGCUACUGAGACUAAUACUCUUGGAUAGUGGACGUUACUCGCAGAAUAAGCACCGGCUAACUCUGUGCCAGCCGCCGCGGUAA
rnacentral:rRNA from 1 species